rnacentral:ncRNA from 2 species
GUUGGGUGUUUGGAGUCCAAGAGACCUGAGAUCAGAGUCCAGCAUUGUCACUUCAUCCAGCCUUGGCAGUGUGGGAUGUGACUCUGCCUCUGAACCGCAGUUAUACCAUCUGUGCUGGUGGCGUUGUGAGGAUGGCAGGUAACAAAGGUGAAGCUCCUGGCCCCAGUGGGCCUUCAAGGAUGGCAGCUGCUCCUGCCCCCUACUGGGGUUGCACUCAUUCGUUGCCUGCUCUGGGGAGUCCUAUGGGGUUUCUUAGCUGGCCCUGCCCAUGGUGGAGAAAGAGGGAUCCACCCAUUGCUGAUUGGGCCCAGAGGAAAUGAGGACACUGCGUGAAGCCAAGACAGCAGACGCCCUGCUGGCGGACUUGGAGUCUACCACCUCCCACAUCUCCAAACGGCCUGUGUUCUUGUCGGAGGAGACCCCCUACUCAUACCCAACUGGAAACCACACAUACCAGGAGAUUGCCGUGCCACCCCCCGUCCCCCCACCCCCGUCCAGCGAGGCCCUCAAUGGCACAAUCCUUGACCCCUUAGACCAGUGGCAGCCCAGC